AACGAACGCUGGCGGCAUGCCUAACACAUGCAAGUCGAACGAGACCUUCGGGUCUAGUGGCGCACGGGUGCGUAACGCGUGGGAACCUGCCCUUAGGUUCGGGAUAACUCCCCGACAGGGGUGCUAAUACCGGAUAAUGUCUUCGGACCAAAGAUUUAUCGCCUUUGGAUGGGCCCGCGUUGGAUUAGCUAGUUGGUAGGGUAAAAGCCUACCAAGGCGACGAUCCAUAGCUGGUCUGAGAGGAUGGUCAGCCACACUGGGACUGAGACGCGGCCCAGACUCUUACGGGAUGCAGCAGUGGGGAAUAUUGGAAAACGGGCUAAAGCCUGAUCCAGCAAGGCCGGGUGAGUGAUGAAGGCCUUAGAGUUGUAAAGCUCUUUUACCCGGGAUGAUAAUGACAGUACCGGGAGAAUAAGCUCCGGCUAACUCCGUG
rnacentral:rRNA from 1 species